AAACUUUAACGGCCGCGGUACCCUAACCGUGCGAAGGUAGCAUAAUCACUUGUUCUUUAAAUAGGGACUAGUAUCAACGGCAUCACGAGGACUGUACUGUCUCCUUUCUCUAAUCAGUGAAACUGAUCUCCCCGUGAAGAAGCGGGGAUUAAACUAUAAGACGAGAAGACCCCAUGGAGCUUUAAGCAAUGUAUUCACCCCUGCACCUUUACAUCAACCAAACAUAAGAGACCUGAAUACUAGCUUUAGGUUGGGGGGACCACGGAGUAUAAUAUAACCUCCAUGACAAACGGGCUACGCCCUUAUCCACGAGCUACAACUCUAAGAAUCAAUAAACUGAUGUUUUAUGACCCGAUAAUUCGAUCAACGAACCAAGUUACCCUGGGGAUAACAGCGCAAUCUACUUCAAGAGCCCAUAUCGACAAGUAGGUUUACGACCUCGAUGUUGGAUCAGGGUAUCCCAGUGGUGCAGCCGCUACUAAUGGUUCGUUUGUUCAACGAUUAAAACCCU
rnacentral:rRNA from 1 species